rnacentral:misc_RNA from 1 species
CGGUGGAGGAGAUGGUGAUGGAGGAGGUGGGGACUUGUAGUAGUAUGGCACUGGUGCUGGUGAUUUUGGUGGUGGUGGUGGGGAUUUAUAAUAGUAUGGUGGUGGAGGAGAUGGUGAAGGGGAAGGUGGUGGGGGUGGUUCAAUGCAAGGAGGAGGUGGUGGAGGGGGUUCUAUACAAGGCAAUGGGGACGGAGGUGGAGGGGAAUGAGGUGGCGGAGGUGAAGAGUAUACGUAUGGUGGUGGUGAAUUUGGUGGCGGAGGUGAUGAGUAAAUGUAUGUUGGUGGUGGUGGAGGAGGUGGCGAAUUUGGGGGCGGAGGUGGUGGUGAAUUGUAAUAAUAAGGUGAAGGGGGUGGAGGCGAGUGAGCAAGCGGUGGAGGUGGUGAAUUAGGUGGUGGAGAAUUUGGUGGUGGAGGUGGAGGUGAGCGUACACAAUAAGGCAAUGGUGAUGGUGGAGGCGGUGGUGAAUAAACUGGUGGGGGAGGAGGUGGAGGGGGAGAUGGUGGUGGAGGUGGUGGUGAAUAAACUGGUGGUGGGGGUGAUGGUGGAGGUGGAGAUGGUGGUGGUGGGGGUGGAGGUGAUGGUGGAGGAGGAGAUGGAGGUGGUGGUGGUGGUGAAUAGACUGGUGGUGGAGGUGAUGGAGGAGGUGGUGGUGGUGGAGGUGGUGAAGGUGAAGGAGGAUUAUAAACUGGUGGCGGAGGCGAAUAAACAGGCGGCGGAGGAGGGGCAGGCAGCGGUGGUGAAAGUGGUGGUGGAGGUGGCAAAACAGGAACAAAUUUAUGACACUUAAAAGCACUACAAUGAAUUUUUUUAGACAAAAACGCCUUACACUGUCCCGGAGACCGUUGCACCGGUCUGUUGGGCAAACAAUUCCGUUGAUCAUGAAACUCCGGCAACGCCAAACAUACCGGCGGUUCACCGGUGAAGAAAUUAUACGAAUAGGUAAAAUUCUCAAGCUUAGGAAGCUGACAAAUACUUUUAGGAAUCGUACCAGAAAGCAUAUUAUGUGCGACAUUCAAUUGCUCCAAAUUCACCAAACCACCAAAAUUCUCCGGCAACGGACCCAUCAACUCAUUAAAGCUCACAUCAAAUACAGUUAAAUUUUUCAACAACCCAAUCUCCGCCGGCAAACAAGAACGCAACCCAUUAUUCAUUAAAAUCGCUUCAUUAAGAUUACUCAUAUUCCCAAUACUCGCCGGAAGACACCCAUGAAAACUGUUACUCGCAAGUACUAUCACAGAAACCGGCGAAUUCCCAAAAUUCUCCGGCAGCUCAAACGCAAAACGAUUAUGAUUAAUAAAAAUGGCGUCUAAUGGCUUAUCAAAAAGCUGCGAAGGUACAUUACCUUCAAAUUCAUUGAACCUAAUAUCCAAAAAUAUCAACUUGGGUAAACUCAAAACAACAUAAGGAAACUUCCCGGCAAACCUGUUAUUACUCAGAUCCAGCUCGAACAGUAUCUUCAACUUGUUCAACUUUCUCGGUAUUGUACCACAGAAACGAUUGGAAUUGAUAUGGAAAAUCCCAAGAUCUGUAAGAAGACCAAGCUCUUCCGGGAGAUACCCUGCAAUGUCACCAUGGUUAAGGUCAAUGCCGGCAACUGUACGGAUUUUCGGAUUAUCCAACGCCGGAGCACAGAAGACUCCGGUGUAGCUGCAUACAUUAGGACCAACCCAAUUCAUAGUGAUAUUAAAGGGAUCUGAAAUGAUAGCUUGUUUCCAUGCUUGUAAAGCAAUAUAAGCAUUCUUGAUUCUAUCAUUCUCAAACACCAUAGAUGGAUCAAUUUUCACAUUUUCACCUCUAUCACCAAACUCAUCUCUGUAAUACAAAAGCUGCCUGUGUUUGAUGAACUGAGCUUCAGAAUCAGUUAAAGGACCAUUUUCAGAAACAGUAAACUCAGCAUUUGUGUGUUCAGUAAAGACUGAACAACACAAAAAACAGAGCACAAGAAAAAACAGAGAACAAAUGGGUGUUUGAGUUUUCUCCUUCAUCUCACAUAUAAGUCAUCUGAAAAUCAAGAAUGCUAUGCUUUUUUCAGUUCAAAGAUUGAAUCUUUAACCAAAUGUGAGAUG